GACGAACGCUGGCGGCGUGCCUAAUACAUGCAAGUCGAACGCAGUGGGGACGGGUGAGUAACACGUGGGUAACCUCCCAUCAGAGGGGAUAACACUUGGAAACAGGUGCUAAACCGAUACUGAUGGAUGGACCCGCGGUGCAUUAGCUAGUUGGUGAGGUAAUGGCUCACCAAGGCGACGAUCCCUAGCUGGUCUGAGAGGAUGAUCAGCCACACUGGGACUGAGACACGGCCCAGACUCCUACGGGAGGCAGCAGUGGGGAAUAUUGCACAAUGGGCGCAAGCCUGAUGCAGCCAUGCCGCGUGUAUGAAGAAGGCCCUAGGGUUGUAAAGUACUUUCAGUCGGGAGGCGUUACCGACAGAAGAAGCACCGGCUAACUCCGUGCCAGCAGCCGCGGUAAUUC
rnacentral:rRNA from 1 species